AGCAGCCGCGGUAAUUCCAGCUCCAAUAGCGUAUAUUAAAGUUGUUGCAGUUAAAAAGCUCGUAGUUGAAUUUCGGGGUUAGUAGAUUGGUCAUGCCUCUGGUAUGCACUGGUCUUACUGAUUCCUCCUUCCUGAUGAACCGUAAUGCCAUUAAUUUGGUGUUGCGGGGAAACUGGACUGUUACUUUGAAAAAAUUAGAGUGUUUAAAGCAGGCUAACGCUUGAAUACAUUAGCAUGGAAUAAUGAAAUAGGACGUUCGAUCUUAUUUUGUUGGUUUCUAGGAUUGACGUAAUGAUUAAUAGGGAUAGUUGGGGGCAUUAGUAUUCAAUUGUCAGAGGUGAAAUUCUUGGAUUUAUUGAAGACUAACUACUGCGAAAGCAUUUGCCAGGAUGUUUUCAUUAAUCAAGAACGAAAGUUAGGGGAUCGAAGACAAUCAGAUACCGUCGUAGUCUUAACCAUAAACUAUGCCGACUAGGGAUCGGGAUGAUGUUUAAUUUUUUAAUGUACUCUAUUCGGCGCC
rnacentral:rRNA from 1 species